AUACAGGCAUUCUAGCCAGACCCACAUCAACAUGUUGGGUCUGGGAACUCACCAUAGGCAGGGCUCAAUCCGAGGGGCGGGAUAAUUGGUUCUCUUUCAAAUUCCCUUGGCACGCAAUAGGCUAGCGCUUCAACCGACCAGAGCCACGCUGGUUG